AACAGGAUGGCGGAGGGAACAGCACGCCGGGCCGCGGGAGCCGAGGUGCGGCGACGCGGGAGAGGGAAGAGGCGCAUGUUACCCUAUUUCCGGAAGCUGGUGUUUUGGGGGAUGAAGGCACGAGCCCCGGUGUGGCAAUGACGCCUAUCUAAUAAGCUGGCAGCCUACUCCUGACUGGCAAACAUAGGGGGACCAUAACUACACUAUACUGCAACGCAAAACAAAACAAGGUGGGGAGGUAGAGAGGUGGGGGUGAAGAGAAAAGGAAAGCAAGACUACAAGCAUCAAGUUAUCUUCACUACAUUUUAACAGGCUCUAACCGGAAGUUAUUUGGGUUUUCAAGCGUUCUCAUGAUUCUAGCAAUGGUUUAAACAAGAAUUCUGCAUCAGCAACUGGAGAGAGAGAAAAAAAAGAAAAAAACACCAGGCUUUAGUGGAAGUAGCGGCCCUCAUUAGUUGAUGUCUUGUGGUCACAGAAGCUGCACGUCGUCGUGCUCCCCACCCACAUUUACACCUAGACCUAGCGAGAAUGGGUCUGGCGGUGUCCACUGUGGAUCGAGUGAAGAUGGUGGAGGCGGCGUGUCGCGGCGCCACGACGCUCCCAGCGCUGGAGUGGUGUCUCAAGACUGCCAUGAAGUCCGCAUUGCGAUUCCUGUGUGCAGUGCUGCUGGUGGUGGUGGUGACUGCAGACCUGGCGACAUUCAUCUAUGGGUAUCACUAUGGCAUCCUGGAGAACGAUGACCCCUGGCUUGGUGCUCAACUGUUGUGUGGAGGCGGGUUGCUCCUCUCUCAGUUUUGCUCAUCCCCAUUCUUGCCUACUUCUUCUCUAUGAGUACCCGGAGACUUUCCCAGUACUGGUUCGCGGUGCACAUCACUUGGGGCGACAACUGGGCGCAUCAUACCGUGGUCCUCCUCUACACCCUUCAAGUUCAACCGGUAUUGGACAUCCUUGAGCUGAAUGUCGUCGUCGCAGACCUGAAGACUGCGGACUUUUGGUGGUGGUUCGCCCAAGGAUUCUUCCUGGUUGUCUUGGUCCGUACUCUUGUGGGUUAUGACGCCGAGGAUGACUUAUACGAGGAAGAGUCUGAGGAAAUGCCAAAUAUGGUGAGUCACUGUCGCCCUCUCGUAGAAACAGAAGGCAGCCUAGCAUUGGUGGCCCCGUCGGUCACCAAUGCCGCAGCGCCGGCAGUUGUCCCCGCUACGCAGGACUCCACGACCAUCGAGGAGAUCAGCUCAACCCUUGGUGGCACUACCGCUUAAAAACGUCCAAGACUUAGCUUGUUAUAUAUAUAUA